GGGAUGGAGAAUCAUUUCGUCCGUAAUUGCAAAACGAGAGUUGUAUAUAUUUAUCCGAAUUUCAGAAGUAAAUAAUAGCAACAAGGAAGCUAUAUGAUACUUUGAAUUUUUAUAUAUUUUUAUGUCAAGUUACAAAGAAGACUGGAAUUUUUUAACUCCUAGAUAGUUCUCUUGUUAGAUGUUGAGACAGUGAAUGCCAGACGAAAGAAUGUAGUUCGCAUGCAUAAAAUGAUUAGUCGAAGAAUCUGAGAAAUUAUUAUAUUGGUGUAACUGGUCAACGUAGCUAACAUACGUGUAACAACGCGCAACGCUGUAGAAUCUA
rnacentral:misc_RNA from 1 species